rfam:Bat coronavirus 1A strain AFCD62, complete genome.
GACUUAAAGAUAUAAUCCAUCUACAGAUAGAGUGUACUCUUCUAGACUUUUGUCUACUCCCCUCAACUAAACGAAAUUUUUGCCAUAUGUUUAUGGCUAAUUGAAAUUUCAGUCGGUUGUUAACAUACUUGCACAAGUGUCGUGCAUGUCGCCAGUCCCUCCUUUCAGUUCCGUCUGUUAGGUAUACUAGGUGGCUGCCUUUGGUUCAGUUCCGUCUGGCCAUUGUGUGGAUAGUACGUUCCGUCGUGCUUGAAACCGAUAACUAGCAGGUAUGUCGUCCAACCUUGUGACAUUGGCCU